rnacentral:tRNA from 1 species
GGGACCGUAGGGUAGUGGUAUCCUCGGCGCAUGGGGUGCGUCGGACCCGAGUUCGAGUCUCGGCGGUCCCA